CACCAUUUCUGCUUUAGAUUUAAGACAAUGUUGAGCGAGUCAAGCACGUCGCGCUCACGUUAAGAUGUUUCAUUGGUUGAUGAAACACGGACACGUUUACUAAUCAAAUACUCCGAGAACAUCGAACAUGCCACAUCAUGUCGAAACUUGAUAUGAUAACAGCCAUCAAUUAAUAAUAUCCUGAUCGGUACACGCGUCAUGAUGCAUGUUAAGUUUGUGCCACGAGUACCAGAUGGUAGUCGCAACUAGAACAAAACACGCAACCUUGAGCCACCAAACGACGAUGAGGUGGUUUGGUGAUGGCAAUUUUGAUGGCCGAUGGGGAGGAUCCAAGGAAAGAAUGCAAAGGAGCAGUCGUCCAACACCUCUAUACAACAGCUGUGUCAAAAGUCGAUUGAAAUCCAGCAUUGUAUAUGUUGUCUCAGGUAUUUUGCAGACUGAUGCAACAGGAGUAGCGUUUCAGAGAUGGAAGCUGUUUCAACUUCAGGUUCAGUGGUGAUUGGCACAUCCUGAUACUUUCAACAGGAGCCAGAUGUGUUAUUUUUAUCCUCUUCUUACUAUAAUAUAGCUAGUAUGUAUGGUGAGGUUUUCGUAUUUCUGAAAUCCUUAUUCUGAUUCCUAUUGUAUCCUGACGUUAUUGUUA